CUGCUCCCACUGGAAGGCUAGUCCAGGUAUCUACUACCCUUUCUAUAUUACUGUUACUGCUGUCACUGGAAAGCUAUUCCAGGUAUCUACUACCCUUUCUAUAUCACUGUUACUGCUCCCACUGGAAGGCUAUUCCAGGUAUCUACUACCCUUUCUAUAUCACUGUUACUGCUCCCACUGGAAGGCUAUUCCCGGUAUUUACUACCCUUUCUGUAUCACUGUUACUGCUCCCACUGGAAGGCUAUUCCAGGAAUCUACUACCCUUUCUAUAUCACUGUUACUGCUCCUACUGGAAGGCUAUUCCAGGUAUCUACUACCCUUUCUAUAUCACUGUUACUGCUCCCACUGGAAGGCUAUUCC